rnacentral:rRNA from 1 species
AACGAACGCUGGCGGCAGGCCUAACACAUGCAAGUCGAACGCCCCGCCAGGGGUGUGGCGGACGGGUGAGUAGCACGUGGGAACCUUCCCUAUAGUACGGAAUAGCCCAGGGAAACUUGGAGUAAUACCGUAUACGCCCGAAAGGGGAAAGAAUUUCGCUAUAGGAUGGGGCCGCGUAGGAUUAGCUAGUUGGUGGGGUAACGGCUCACCAAGGCGACGAUCCUUAGCUGGUUUGAGAGAACGACCCGCCACACUGGGACUGAGACACGGCCCAGACUCCUACGGGAGGGAGCAGUGGGGAAUAUUGGAGAAGGGGCGCAAGCCUGAUCAAGCCAUGUCGGGUGAGUGAUGAAGGCCUUAGGGUUGUAAAGCUCUUUUGGCGGGGACGAUAAUGACGGUACCCGCAGAAUAAGUCCCGGCUAACUUCGUG